UACGUAGGUGGCAAGCGUUAUCCGGAUUUACUGGGUGUAAAGGGCGUGUAGGCGGGGAAGCAAGUCAGAUGUGAAAAUUAUGGGCUCAACCCAUAACCUGCAUUUGAAACUGUUUUUCUUGAGUGCUGGAGAGGCAAUCGGAAUUCCGUGUGUAGCGGUGAAAUGCGUAGAUAUACGGAGGAACACCAGUGGCGAAGGCGGAUUGCUGGACUGAAACUGACGCUGAGGCGCGAAAGCGUGGGGAGCAAACAGG
rnacentral:rRNA from 1 species